rnacentral:rRNA from 1 species
UACGGAGGGUGCGAGCGUUGUCCGGAAUCACUGGGCGUAAAGGGCGCGUAGGCGGCGUCGGUAGUCCGUGGUGAAAGCUCGUGGCUCAACUGCGAGUCGGCCAUGGAUACUCCGAUGCUUGAGCACUGUAGAGGCAGGUGGAAUUCCGGGUGUAGCGGUGGAAUGCGUAGAGAUCCGGAAGAACACCGGUGGCGAAGGCGGCCUGCUGGGCAGUAGCUGACGCUGAGGCGCGACAGCGUGGGGAGCAAACAGG